CGCCUUUUGAACUAUGAACAUAAAAGGUCCUGCCUGCCCAGUGACAUUGAUUUAACGGCCGCGGUAUCAUGACCGUGCAAAGGUAGCGUAAUCACUUGUCUUUUAAAUAAAGACCAGUAUGAAUGGCAAAACGAAAGCCAAACUGUCUCCCCAGAUCAGUCAAUGAAAUUGAUAUUCCCGUGCAGAAGCGGGAAUAAUACUAUAAGACGAGAAGACCCUGUGGAGCUUCAAACUUAAGCUAACAAACUAUAAAUGCUUUAGCACCCAGUUUUAGGUUGGGGCGACCACGAGGUAAAACACAACCCUCGAGACAAGAACUAAGAAGGACACUUCAAAUAAUAACAAUAUAAUUGACCCAAUAAUUGAUCAACGAACCAAGUUACCCCAGGGAUAACAGCGCAAUCUACUCAAAGAGCCCAUAUCGACGAGCAGGUUUACGACCUCGAUGUUGGAUCAGGACCCCCCAAUAACGCAACAGCUAUUAAAGGUUCGUNUNNUCAACGAUUAAAGUCCU
rnacentral:rRNA from 1 species